rnacentral:rRNA from 1 species
AUUGAACGCUGGCGGCGUGCCUAACACAUGCAAGUCGAGCGGUAACAGGUGUAGCAAUACAUGCUGACGAGCGGCGAACGGGUGAGUAAUGCUUCGGAAUCUACCCAAUGGUGGGGAAUAACCAGCCGAAAGGUUGGCUAAUACCGCAUACGUCCCACGGGAGAAAGCAGGGGAUCGCAAGACCUUGCGCCAAUGGAUGAGCCGAAGUCGGAUUAGCUAGUUGGAGGGUAACGGCCUACCAAGGCGACGAUCCGUAGCUGGUCUGAGAGGACGACCAGCCACACUGGGACUGAGACACGGCCCAGACUCCUACGGGAGGCAGCAGUGGGGAAUAUUGGACAAUGGGGGAAACCCUGAUCCAGCGACGCCGCGUGUGUGAAGAAGGCCUGCGGGGUUGUAAAGC